rnacentral:tRNA from 1 species
GCUUAAAUAGCUUAAAUUUUGAGAGCGUAACGUUGAAGGUGUUAGGGUGGUAGUUGUAUCUUUAAGUA